GUUGAACGCUGGCGGCAUGCCUUACACAUGCAAGUCGAACGGUAACAGGUCUUCGGAUGCUGACGAGUGGCGAACGGGUGAGUAAUACAUCGGAACGUGCCUAGUAGUGGGGGAUAACUACUCGAAAGAGUGGCUAAUACCGCAUGAGAUCUACGGAUGAAAGCAGGGGAUCGCAAGACCUUGUGCUACUAGAGCGGCCGAUGGCAGAUUAGGUAGUAGGUGGGAUAAAAGCUUACCAAGCCGACGAUCUGUAGCUGGUCUGAGAGGACGAUCAGCCACACUGGGACAGAGACACGGCCCAGACUCCUACGGGAGGCAGCAGUGGGGAAUUUUGGACAAUGGGCGAAAGCCUGAUCCAGCAAUGCCGCGUGCAGGAUGAAGGCCUUCGGGUUGUAAACUGCUUUUGUACGGAACGAAAAGCCCCGGGUUAAUACCCAGGGGUCAUGACGGUACCGUAAGAAUAAGCACCGGCUAACUACGUGCCAGCCGCCGCGGUAA
rnacentral:rRNA from 1 species